rnacentral:lncRNA from 1 species
UGGGCUAGUUUGUUGAAAUCACAGCAUAACUUGUAGAGAUCUGGGACAGUGAUGAGAUAAGAUCGGCCAAAAGUCGAUGACUCUGACUUCAUCUAAGUGCUUACCUCAUGUGGUCAGUCGUCUGUUGAUGACAUUGUUGUUGUGCAGAGCACGUGCCUUAAGUUGUCUACGUCAUGAGGCUAGGUAUCCGCCAUAUCCUCAAAGAUUGGGCACG